rnacentral:sRNA from 1 species
UAAUAUUUAGCGGCCAAAGCCCAGGCUUUUGUCUGGGUGAGAUAAUGUGAAGAACAUUGCUGUAUAUCCGGGGAGGCGCUUUAUUGGAUUGCCGCCAACCAUCGUCUCCCCGGUUUGCUAGG